rnacentral:tRNA from 1 species
GCCGGGUUCUCCUAGCCUGGCAGGGAGCUGGCCUGCUAAGUCAGUGCGGGUGACCGCGCGAGGGUUCAAAUCCCUCACCCGGCGCCA